GUGAGGCCUAGUGAGGUCUUGUAGGCCUUGGGAGGAGGAGGGUGCCGGAGGUUGGUGGGUGCGAUUCUGCUACCUCAAGGAGAGUAGUGGUAGCAGGGAAGAUAGUCUCCAGAAGUACUCCAACAGAGUGUCUGAGUAGGGGACCAGGCAACACUCCAAAAUAAAAUUUUCUUGAAUAGUCUGAGUUGGAAGAGACCCACAAGGACCAUCGAGUCAAAGUCAUAAGUUAGGGGAUCAAACCCACAUUGGGGAUCACAACCUUGAUGUUAUUAGCACUAUGCUCUAACCAACUGAGCUAAUCUCAGGGUUAAUGGCAACAGUAACCAGAUGACGUAUGUUUUGCAUGGGAGAAAGUGAAAGGUAUUUCCAUGCAGUCUUACUUAGCGUAAU